AAUUUGUUUUAAUCGGCACAUUUAAUUUGGGUGCAGCAAUCAGGAUAAGGCUUACUAUAAUCGGGUGGCUGCUCAAUGCAACCAUGUCGUAGCAGAUAGCGGUCACAGCUGUCGCAAAGAGUGCAGUUAACAGAGUAAACGCGAAGAGAUCUAGUUGAAAUGACACAGAAAGUCAGCUGCUCAAAUUAGGACUAUAUGUUCACGACCGGUGCAAGUAUAGAAAUGUCGGCGGUGCCGCUGCGCUUGCGAAGGAGUUGCGAGUGUUACUAAAUUUCGUUGUGUAAAUUUUGAUGAUCCUUUCCAGUGCAUGACUAAUAAUCGGCGCUUAAUUGGCAUGGGGAUUAUCAUAACAAUGAAUUGAGAGGCGUUCUUGGCGCGUCUGAUGAGGCUUGCGAGUUACGACGCCGACGUCGACUGAGACGGCUUCAAGUUCAAACUGCGUGAUAUUAUUUAUUCCAAUAUUCAAUAUUGUGUUGAAAAUAACUCUUAUUUGCUGCCGAAUAGUUUUGUAGACAUGUAAUCAAAACAAAAAUAUAUUUUAUUAGUUGGA